rnacentral:lncRNA from 1 species
AUGAUCCAUCAAGGCCCAAGCCCAUCCAUAAGACCGCCCCAACCAAAAGCCGAGAAACGAUUACAAUGUUCACACUUGUCUGAACGUGGCCCCUGGAAACGUCAGACCAAGUCCGAACUACUUGAACAUCCACAAUGGAGCACAAUGGUCCGAUCUGACCAAGCUCGAUGUGCCUAAAACACCAGAGAUUGUAACUUUAGUAGCACUUCAAAGGACAAGUAUGUAUAGAACUCAGUUCAUUCUUAAUAAGUGUCCUGCAAUUUUGUUGAUAGAGCCUGAAUUUCACCCGUUUCCAUUAUCAGAAUCCAACUCGAGCAUCG